rnacentral:rRNA from 1 species
GCGACUAAGCGUACACGGUGGAUGCCCUGGCAGUCAGAGGCGAUGAAGGACGUGCUAAUCUGCGAUAAGCGCCGGUAAGGUGAUAUGAACCGUUAUAACCGGCGAUUUCCGAAUGGGGAAACCCAGUGUGACUCGUCACACUAUCAUUAACUGAAUCCAUAGGUUAAUGAGGCGAACCGGGGGAACUGAAACAUCUAAGUACCCCGAGGAAAAGAAAUCAACCGAGAUUCCCCCAGUAGCGGCGAGCGAACGGGGAGGAGCCCAGAGCCUGAAUCAGCAUGUGUGUUAGUGGAAGCGUCUGGAAAGGCGCGCGAUACAGGGUGACAGCCCCGUACACAAAAGCGCAUGUGCUGUGAGCUCGAUGAGUAGGGCGGGACACGUGGUAUCCUGUCUGAAUAUGGGGGGACCAUCCUCCAAGGCUAAAUACUCCUGACUGACCGAUAGUGAACCAGUACCGUGAGGGAAAGGCGAAAAGA